rnacentral:rRNA from 1 species
UACGGGGGGGGCAAGCGUUGUUCGGAAUUACUGGGCGUAAAGGGCUCGUAGGUGGCCAACUAAGUCAGACGUGAAAUCCCCAGGCUCAACUUGGGAACUGCGUCUGAUACUGGAUGGCUUGAAUUCGGGAGAGGGAUGCAGAAUUCCAGGUGUAGCGGUGAAAUGCGUAGAUAUGCGGAGGAACACCGAUGGCGAAGGCAGUCCCCUGGGCCUGCACUGACGCUCAUGCACGAAAGCGUGGGGAGCAAACAGG